rnacentral:rRNA from 1 species
CGGUAAUUCCAGCUCCAAUAGCGUAUAUUAAAGUUGUUGCAGUUAAAAAGCUCGUAGUUGGAUUUCUGUUAAUAAUUUAUAUAUAAUAUUUGAUUAAUAUUUAUAUAAUAUUAACAUAAUUCAUAUUACUAAAUUUAUUAGUAUAUGAAAUUUUACUUUGAGAAAAUUAGAGUGCUUAAAGCAGGCAUAUGCCUUGAAUACUCCAGCAUGGAAUAAUAUUAAAGAUUUUUAUCUUUCUUAUUGGUUCUAAGAUAAAAAUAAUGAUUAAUAGGGACAGUUGGGGGCAUUUGUAUUUAACAGUCAGAGGUGAAAUUCUUAGAUUUGUUAAAGACAAACUAAUGCGAAAGCAUUUGCCAAGGAUGUUUUCAUUAAUCAAGAACGAAAGUUAGGGGAUCGAAGACGAUCAGAUACCGUCGUAGUCUUAACCAUAAACUAUGCCA